AGUGAACGCUGGCGGUAGGCCUAACACAUGCAAGUCGAACGGCAGCACAGUAAGAGCUUGCUCUUACGGGUGGCGAGUGGCGGACGGGUGAGGAAUACAUCGGAAUCUUCUUUUUCGUGGGGGAUAACGUAGGGAAACUUACGCUAAUACCGCAUACGACCUACGGGUGAAAGCAGUGGAUCUUCGGACCUUUCGCGAUUGAAUGAGCCGAUGUCGGAUUAGCUAGUUGGCGGGGUAAAGGCCCACCAAGGCGACGAUCCGUAGCUGGUCUGAGAGGAUGAUCAGCCACACUGGAACUGAGACACGGUCCAGACUCCUACGGGAGGCAGCAGUGGGGAAUAUUGGACAAUGGGCGAAAGCCUGAUCCAGCCAUACCGCGUGGGUGAAGAAGGCCUUCGGGUUGUAAAGCCCUUUUGUUGGGGAAGAAAAGCAGCAGGUUAAUACCCCGCUGUUCUGACGGUACCCAAAGAAUAAGCACCGGCUAACUUCGUG
rnacentral:rRNA from 1 species